CCUACGGGUGGCAGCAGUGGGGGAUAUUGCACAAUGGGUUAAACCCUGAUUCAGCUACUCCUCGUGGGCGAAGAAGUCUUUCUUUAUGUAAAGCCCUUUCAGCAGGGAAGAAGAAAUGACGGUACCUGAGUAAGAAGCACCGGCUAAAUACGUGCCAGCAGCCGCGGUAAUACGUAUGGUGCAAGCGUUAUCCGGAUUUACUGGGUGUAAAGGGAGCGCAGGCGGCACGGCAAGCCUGAUGUGAAAGCCCGCGGUCCAACCGCGGGACUGCAUUGGGAACUACCGGGCUGGAGUGCCGGAGAGGUAGGCGGAAUUCCUAGUGUAGCGGUGAAAUGCGUAGAUAUUAGGAGGAACACCAGUGGCGAAGGCGGCCUACUGGACGGUGACUGACGCUGAGGCUCGAAAGCGUGGGGAGCAAACAGGAUUAGAUACCCUGGUAGUC
rnacentral:rRNA from 1 species